UACAGAGGACGCAAGCGUUGUCCGGAUUCAUUGGGCGUAAAGGGUCCGUAGGUGGCGGGGUAAGUCGGACGUGAAAUCCCGGGGCUCAACCCCGGAACUGCAUUCGAUACUGCCUUGCUCGAGUACUGGAGAGGCGACUGGAAUUUACGGUGUAGCAGUGAAAUGCGUAGAUAUCGUAAGGAAGACCAGUGGCGAAGGCGAGUCUCUGGACAGUUACUGACACUGAGGCACGAAGGCCAGGGGAGCAAACGGG
rnacentral:rRNA from 1 species